rnacentral:rRNA from 1 species
UACGUAGGGGGCAAGCGUUGUCCGGAAUCAUUGGGCGUAAAGAGCGCGUAGGCGGCCCGAUAAGUCCGCCGUGAAAGUCCAGGGCUCAACCCUGGAAUGCCGGUGGAUACUGUCGGGCUAGAGUCCGGAAGGGGCGAGUGGAAUUCCUGGUGUAGCGGUGAAAUGCGCAGAUAUCAGGAGGAACACCAGUGGCGAAGGCGACUACCUGGCCCAUUCUUGACGCUGAGGCGCGAAAGCUAGGGGAGCGAACGGG